rnacentral:rRNA from 1 species
UACGAAGGGGGCUAGCGUUGUUCGGAAUUACUGGGCGUAAAGCGCGCGCAGGCGGUCUUCCAAGUCAGUGGUGAAAGCCCGGAGCUCAACUCCGGAACUGCCAUUGAAACUGUUAGACUUGAGGAUGAGAGAGGUGAGUGGAAUUCCCAGUGUAGAGGUGAAAUUCGUAGAUAUCGAGAGGAACACCGGCGGCGAAGGCGGCCAACUGGACGAACACUGACGCUGAGGAGCGAAAGCGUGGGGAGCGAACAGGAUUA